rnacentral:rRNA from 1 species
AGAGUUUGAUCAUGGCUCAGAGCGAACGCUGGCGGCAGGCCUAAAACAUGCAAGUCGAACGGAUCCUUCGGGAUUAGUGGCGGACGGGUGAGUAACACGUGGGAACGUGCCUUUUGGUUCGGAACAACUCAGGGAAACUUGAGCUAAUACCGAAUGUGCCCUUCGGGGGAAAGAUUUAUCGCCAUUAGAGCGGCCCGCGUCUGAUUAGCUUGUUGGUGAGGUAAAGGCUCACCAAGGCGACGAUCAGUAGCUGGUCUGAGAGGAUGAUCAGCCACACUGGGACUGAGACACGGCCCAGACUCCUACGGGAGGCAGCAGUUAGGAAUCUUGCGCAAUGGGGGAAACCCUGACGCAGCCAUGCCGCGUGAAUGAUUAAGGUCUUAGGAUUGUAAAAUUCUUUCAGCGGGGACGAUAAUGACGGUACCCGCAGAAGAAGCCCCGGCUAACUUCGUG